rnacentral:tmRNA from 1 species
GGCAACAUCCUAAUAACACGCAUUUGCUCCAAUUCACGAAGCAAUGCAAGCGCAUGUUUGUCCAAUAUUUCGAUCGUAAAAAUCAUUAUCGUCAGUUUUGACUUCAAAGUUAAGGGUAUUUAUGAGGAUUACAAAGAAAACUGUUCGGCAAGUGAACAUGAAAUCAAUCCCGCACUCGAAAAGCUAAUCCGUGAAUAAGCAUGUAGAAAGCGUUGUGACGCUUUGUCCGGACGCGAGUUCGACGCUCGCCAGCUCCACCA